rnacentral:rRNA from 1 species
AACGAACGCUGGCGGCAGGCUUAACACAUGCAAGUCGAACGCAUCCUUCGGGGUGAGUGGCAGACGGGUGAGUAACGCGUGGGAACGUGCCCUUCAGUUCGGGAUAACCCAGGGAAACUUGGGCUAAUACCGGAUACGUGCGAGAGCAGAAAGAUUUAUCGCUGAAGGAUGGGCCCGCGUCGGAUUAGCUAGUUGGUGGGGUAAUGGCCCACCAAGGAGACGAUCAGUAGCUGGUCUGAGAGGAUGAUCAGCCACAUUGGGACUGAGACACGGCCCAAACUCCUACGGAAGGCAGCAGUGGGGAAUAUUGGACAAUGGGCGCAAGCCUGAUCCAGCCAUGCCGCGUGAGUGAUGAAGGCCUUAGGGUUGUAAAGCUCUUUCGUCCGGGACGAUAAUGACGGUACCGGAAGAAGAAGCCCCGGCUAACUUCGUGCCAGCCGCCGCAGUAA